AUCGACAAUCUGUCUUAUAACUGCUGAGCAUCUGCUUACAUACUCUUCAUAACUUUCUGAUGGGACCAGAGAAGCAACUGGGAUGUUACAUCUGAUGAUAAAAUCAUGAGUCACUCAUUUGGCUAAUGUUUCUUUUGUUUUCUUGAGCACUCAGCAUUGUCAAACAAUCUGUUUUCUUAUACACUAUCUCUGACAGACAGAAGGUGCUCAUUGCAGAGAUACACGCAAAGGGUAUCACAACAUAUGCUUUAGGCCAUUUUCUGGUAUGUCAGCUUAUACCGAACUAGCCUCUUUUUUACAAGCCAUGUUGCUGAGUCAGAGGUGCUCAGGGAGUCAAACACUACCUAAUACAAAUAAAGGUAUCAAAAGCUGGCUCUUACCAAAACUUCUCUUACAUAACACCAUUGAAAUGUAAUUUAUGCCUAAGAAAUGCCUGGGAAGUGGUUGGAGAGAACCACUGCAGAAGCAUGGGGUGCAGGUCUACAGACCACAGCAAGUUCUGAAGUAUUUACUUGUUUCUUACUCCCAUCAACAUUGGUGAAAGGAUACAUUUCAGGAUUUGGCUCAUUGGCUCUAGUCUCCCUCUUAAAGUCAAUUGGUUAUCUACUUUAAUCAAACAAUUAUACAUAAAACUUUUUUUUAACGUUAGAAAAAGUCUGUAUAAAAAUCACUGAGAAAAAAAUCCCAGUGUCAGCCUUCCAGUUUCUUUUACUUUCUAGUGUUCUAUGCUCUAAGAGGUAUUGUUAAAAGAUUAGGGAGCAGAGUUGUGCUGCUGGAAAACAGCACAACUCCACUGAAAAGCCGAAUGCCUGCUGCUAAAGAUUUUGAGUCCUGCCUUCACGGCUGGAGUAACUGCAUAACAUCUCAGCAUCAAGUUGAGGUGGGAGCAGAGCUCGUGUUUUGACUCCCUUCCCUGUGCCCUACUCAUUGCACCAAACUGCCUCUCAGUGCAAUCAGAGGUCUCUUUGGCUUGGACUAGAUAUCUUUACUAAGGCAAAGCUAUUAGAGACCUGAACCUGAUAGAAGAUGAUUAUAUUUUCUACCUGCUUGUAUCAAAAUGUAAGUGGGUAGUGAAUUUGUUACACAUUAACUUUGCCACAAGGCUGACUCUGCCAAAAUCUCAACAGCAAAAGGUUUUUCUAGUGAGGUAAUAGACCACAUUGACUUUUCUGUAUAAUUAUCUCACACCUUUAGGAGUCACCUAGACUGAUGUGAAAACUGGAUGACACCUGGAGAGCCAACACACAAGUGAGAAACUUUAGGGAUACUACAUCUCUACAUCUACAGAAAUGAGCUGAGUUUCUGAGUAGGAGUCAAUGGAGUCAGACCUAUGCUGUGGAAAGUGAGAAACUAGCACUUUUGCUGUCACAUGCAUUUGAAUACCUGUUGAUCCAGGAAAAUGAAAGGAUUCCUCCAUCAACUCAUUUAAAGCAAAGGACUUUACUUAGCUGAAGAAAUCCCCUGCAGCCAGUUCGGUGUGAGGUACCGAUCACCCAGCCUUCACUAACAUCAGACUGCUGUGUUCGG